rnacentral:lncRNA from 1 species
CCCUUUUGGAAUGGGACAGCAGAGGGGGCUGUGUUUCAUCUCAGCGAUCAACUGGUUGACCUAUAUGUGAGACUUUGCAAGCCGAGUGUGAUGAUCCUGCUUAGAAUCCCAGCAUUUGAGAGGCUGAGCCAGCAAAUUGACGGCAAGAUUUUACACUCCUUUGAGGUGAGACAGACCAACAGAUACCUGUAAACCAAUGAGGCAAGUGCUAUAAAAUAGGAAUGUGUUCCAGGCUGUAAGGAAACAUAGGAGGCUUAAUUCCACCUAGAAGGGUUAGCGAAACUGUAUUCUGAAUGUCCAGGACGACUUAAGGGGUAUUUAUAAAAUGGUGUCAAUCAGUACUACUUAAUGAGUGACUCAGUAUAAUGUGUGGAAUGACUUGUUGGUUCUGGUUUCAGCCACAUAGUAGAUUCCGAGGCCAGUGGGGUUUUUGUUGUUUGUUUGUUUGUUUGUUCAGCAAAUAUUCAUUAAGCCCCCACUUUGUCCUAAGUUCCUUUCAGCACCCUGGGAAUUGCAAGCAGAUGAACAUCGGUCCCUGCCCUCAAGAAAGCAUGCAAUGAUUUUGUGGCAUGGCAGAGAGCAACGGGGAUCCUAAGUGUUCAACUCUCUAGAGAGAGUGCUUAUCACAUCAGCUCCACCUGUGAUGGGAUAUUACACAUAGAUAAUUAAUAAAAUAAAAAGGUUAUAUUUUUACUUUGGCCAACACUUAAA